CAUCUCGCGUUCUUGUCAUGAGAAUGAGGAAGUGUCGUUCCCAAGAUGAACGGACGAGAGACGUGUAAUGAUCCAGAUGACCGUGACGUUCCCAGUGACGGAGACCAGGAUGAUAAGGGAGUAGGCUAAAGCCCACAGAGCCACCUGACGGGAAGGGGGAACGGUCACAGUUGGGCUGCUGGAAUUGAUUCCCCACGGUCUCAUUCGUGUCCUCCAACCAGGCUGGAAGCGUGACUGGCAGUGGUAGCGAUGUACCCUCUUGGUCUCGUUCCAAGUGCCGGAUCAAACUGUCCAUGUUCUCUGUCCUGCUUCACCUGCUCAAAUGGAAAAAUGUGCUGUCACAAAUUUACAUUAAGAUCAAUUUCUGUUCCUCAAUGUAUAUUUCUUGUUAAUAUUUAGUUAUGCCUGACCGGACCGUGAUAGGUGAAUUCUGCAAAUUGGUGUUCAAUAUUAAUGCAUGUAAUAUUUAAAAAAAAAAAAAAUUAAAAAAUGUGUUAAUGACUUUCAAAAUCCAAUUUUUUUUACCAUUAUUAGAGCCCUAUAGACAUGAAAUAGCACCCCGUAGUCACCUUUAUAAUCCUAUUAUUUUACAACACAUUGCUCACCUGGAUUGUAUAGGCUAUGUGAUCACUGUGCUUUGUUUGGCAUGAAAUAAGCUAUGAAAAUAAAUGUUAAAAAUAGUUAUUUUCAUUUUUGUAAAAGUAGCUUUCACAAGAAAAAAACCUUAUUAACCCUUAAUACAGCCAGUAGUGCAUUUCAAUAUUUACACAUACGUACAUAUGUGAUCGGUAUCGGCCGAUGUCAUUCACGGAUUAUUGGGAUCCAUCCACAUCCCUAAUUACAAGACUGCAAUUGUGUCCCCAACCCUGUCUGCUAGUUUCUUGGUGAAUUGUGCAUGAGUCUUAACACAAAAACACAUGUAGCUGUACUAUCUGUCAGUAGAUGCUGUAUCAUUUCAUAUGCAUUAAAAAUGUACAGUUUCAGUUAGGUUUACAUGACUUUGGUGGAUGUUCUCCAUUGGGUGAGCAUUGAACUCAUCAACAGUUGUCAACAGCGGUCAUCUUGCUGUGAAAUAGUUUUCUCAAAUGGUUUGAACUUCAUAAUGACCCUGUGACUGACGACCAUAUCCAUGGUGUAUAGUUUCCUUUUGUUCCAAGCCAGCUGAUAUAGGCUCUGGCAACAGCUGUGACACCUAACAAGAUAUGUCAUUUAUAAAAAAAUAUUUUUCUAUAUUUCUAUAUUGUUGACUGGCUCAAGUUUCACCCUAUUACAAAAACACAGUGUGUAAGCGCAUUGCACCAUGUGUAGUAAUAAGGCAUCUGGAUAGACUCAUGUAGCCUUUACAAUGGAACCUCACAUAAUAGCAAAUAUGUCCCCGUAGGCCAUUUGAACUAUUCUAGCGGUAAAUUUUCCAGGAAAAACAAAGACUUUUCGAGCCCUUGUUCAAGCACAUGGCAC